GGCAUCAUGGGACUCGGCGGCGGCAGGGAUUGUGGGAAAUGUAGUUUAACGACUCCUCCUCGCCAUUCCUGUAAUGGCUGCUUCCUGGAAGGUAGUGUCACGUGGAACCUCUUAAUCUCAGCAUCCGGAGCUCCAGGAAGGGAAAAUUUCAAGUCAGAUAGAAUUCUAUAUAUACCAUUUCUUUGGAACCUUCAGCCCUCAAGAUUCCAACAUCAUGACCUCAGUUUCAACACAGUUGUCCUUAGUCCUCAUGUCACUGCUUUUGGUGCUGCCUGUUGUCGAAGCAGUAGAAGCUGGUGAUGCAAUCGCCCUCUUGUUAGGUGUGGUUCUCAGCAUUACAGGCAUUUGUGCCUGCUUGGGGGUAUAUGCAAGAAAAAGAAAUGGACAGAUGUGACUUUGAAAGGCCUACUGAAUCAGACUUCACCCUUUUCAGACUUUGUGCAAUAGAGGCUAAACCUGAACUUUGGCGUCUGAAAGUUUCCAAGAAUCAGUAAAUAAGGGAGUUUUACAUUUUUUUUGUUGUUUCAAUGAAAUGAACGGGAACAAACAUACAUAUAUAAAUUGGGGAAAAAAGUUUUCUUUGCAACAAAUAAUGUGUAGAAAAAUGCAGCCUAUAAUUUGUAUUUGCUACUUAGAAAAGAGGUCAAAGAAGUAAGAUGGCUGAAAUUUACAUAAGUAAUAUUUCAUAGUUUUCUAAUUCUCAAAGCAUGUGAAAUAGGAAGAAGGAAGUUCUUGCCCAGAAUCUUAGGAAAUCACCCCUGUGCGGUUAUAAUCACUGCCUCCUGAAUCAUUGAAGAGUCUUUUCUCCAUCUUUUUAUUAGAUUUUUGUUUUGUUGUCUUUCAAGUUAAUAUUGUAUUUAGAUAUAAGAGAGUCAACUAAAAAGGGAAACUUUUAUCUCUGGGGAAAAAAACGUUUAGAAAAAUGUAUUCAGUGUAUCUAAUGAAAUGUAGAAAAAAAUUAAUGUUAAAAGAACACUAUAGACAUUGACAUGGAAAAGAGAUUUGUUAAGAAAAAACUUUAUAUUAACUGAGUAACAUCCUCUGGAUGAGAAGUGCUAUAUUAAAUAUAAACCCAUUAUGUUGUAA